UAACCGUAACCACAUCAAACAGGACGGCGAGGGCAUCGAAAUGGAAGUGCAGACAAUCCAAUUCCAUCAACGGCUGUGUGGGAUUUGGUGAGGGGAUGGGUUACGAGAGAGAGCCUUCGACUUGCGGAGAGGGAGGGAGAAAGAGAUCUUGCGGCUUGCAGGAUCACGAUGAUAGAAGAAGAAGCUCAGAGGUCUCAUACGCCAUUUCAGAGGAACCUUAAAAACCAGAGAAGGAGAAGAGGCUAAGAAAUCGAAGCAUUCAAAUCAUGAGCCGAGGAAGAUGAAGCGGAUACGAUCGUCAGAUCACGAUUUGUUCUCCCUAAGGUUGCCUCUUCCAAGUCGCUAGGGUUUAGAUGAGUCCACCUGCUAUGGUGAAGAUGGAAGAUGCUAAAUUUUGCUUGAUGGAGGUAAAUUUUGCUCAAUUUUACUUGUUUGUUAUUGUGAAAAGUGUUGUCAGAAGUGUUGGCAGCUGCCAAAAGUUUCAUGCCAACAGAUGAUCGUUUUAAGGUCGUUAAAGAAGAUAUGAAGCGAAGGUUAAAGAACACCAAUAUGAAGCCUCCGAGUCACUCAUCAUACUUAAGACUACAAGUUAUCUGUCAAAUUUUUUAUGAUGCAGAUGAGAAGUUGCAUGUUUUGGAUGAAUUGUCUAUUUCUGAUUUGAAGUCAUUCAUUCCCGAGCUUUGUUCCCAGCUAUACAUUGAAUGCCUUUGCCAUGGAAAUUUGUUAAGAGGACAAAGCAAUUACCCUGUCAAAUAUAUUCAAAUCGAAUUGAGGCAUAAAGACUGUAUUGUCAAGUUGAGCAAGAAACAGGGAUUGAGUAAAUCCGAUUGAAAGCAUUGAUAGAUCUUUUCGAUGAAAUUGUGGAGCCACCUUUCAAUCAACUAAGGACGAAGGAGCAGCUUGGAUAUGUUGUUGAGUGUGGCCCACAGGGUCCGACACUGUGGCACUCAAGCAGCAUUUUGGAAAGAAAAUUUUGGAACUAGAAGAUGAGAAAAGAAAUGUGCAGGUUCACUUAAAACCUUAAUAUUUGAUGUUCUUAUUCUUGAGAGAACCGAUAUUCACUUAAAACCCUUAUAAUUUUAGUUUUAUUUUAGUUGGGGAUAGAACAUGUAAAAUUAUAGUUGUUUUUAUAUAUAAUGGUUGUGAAUAUCUUUGUAAAUUGUAAUAUUAUAGAUGCUUGUGGUUGUGGGCUGUUUUAAUUUUAUGAAAAAAAUAAUUUUUUGUUUA